AUUGAACGCUGGCGGCAUGCCUUACACAUGCAAGUCGAACGGCAGCGCGGGGCAACCUGGCGGCGAGUGGCGAACGGGUGAGUAAUAUAUCGGAACAUACCCUAGAGUGGGGGAUAACGUAGCGAAAGUUACGCUAAUACCGCAUACGCACUAAGGUGGAAAGUGGGGGAUCUUCGGACCUCAUGCUCAUGGAGUGGCCGAUAUCUGAUUAGCUAGUUGGUGAGGUAAAGGCUCACCAAGGCGGCGAUCAGUAGCUGGUUUGAGAGAACGACCAGCCACACUGGAACUGAGACACGGUCCAGACUCCUACGGGAGGCAGCAGUGGGGAAUUUUGGACAAUGGGGGCAACCCUGAUCCAGCAAUGCCGCGUGAGUGAAGAAGGCC
rnacentral:rRNA from 1 species